rnacentral:rRNA from 1 species
ACUCCUACGGGAGGCAGCAGCAAGGAAUUUUCGUCAAUGGGGGGAACCCUGAACGAGCAACGCCGCGUGGGCGAAGAAGUCCUUCGGGAUGUAAAGCCCUUUUCUGUGGGAAGAAAGAAAGACGGUACCACAGGAAUAAGCAUCGGCUAACUACGUGCCAGCAGCCGCGGUAAU